UACAGAGGGGGCAAGCGUUAUUCGGAAUUAUUGGGCGUAAAGGGCGCGUAGGCGGCCUGGCAAGUGGAAGGUGAAAUCCCUCGGCUUAACCGAGGAACUGCCCUCCAAACUGCUUGGCUUGAGUCCGGGAGAGGUGAGUGGAAUUCCCAGUGUAGCGGUGAAAUGCGUAGAUAUUGGGAAGAACACCGGUGGCGAAGGCGGCUCACUGGCUCAUAUCUGACGCUCAGGCGCGACAGCGUGGGGAUCAAACAGG
rnacentral:rRNA from 1 species